rnacentral:snRNA from 1 species
GACCUCAGGCAGCACAUAUACUAAAAUUGGAACGAUACAGAGAUGGCCCCUGCACAAGGAUGACAUGGAAAUUCGUGAAGUGUUCCAUAUUUUA